CACACACUGCACCCCCCGCACUAACACACAAACAUAUUGCUCCCCUGCACUAACACACAAACACAGUACACACACUGCACCCCAUGUACUAGCACACAAACAUACUGCUCCCCUGCACUAACACGGCACACACUGCAUCCCCUGUACUAACACACAAACACAGUACACACACUGCACCCCAUGUACUAGCACACAAACAUACUGCUCCCCUCCACUAACACACUACACACACUAUACCCCCU